rnacentral:rRNA from 1 species
GAUGAACGCUGGCGGCGUGCCUAACACAUGCAAGUCGAGCGGUAUAUACUUUAUCAAAUCUUCGGAAGAGAGACGGUAUAGAGAGCGGCGGACGGGUGAGUAACGCGUAGGCAACCUGCCCCAUACAGAGGGAUAGCCUCGGGAAACCGGGAUUAAAACCUCAUAACGCGAGAGAUUCACAUGGGUCUUUCGCCAAAGAUUUAUCGGUAUGGGAUGGGCCUGCGUCUGAUUAGCUAGUUGGUAAGGUAACGGCUUACCAAGGCAACGAUCAGUAGCCGACCUGAGAGGGUAAUCGGCCACAUUGGAACUGAGACACGGUCCAAACUCCUACGGGUGGCUG